AAAGGACCGGCGUCCAAAUAAUGCCUCGCGCUAUUCCCUGUACGUCAAGCUGUGACCCUGAAAAGGGUAGCCUCGGAGCCUUUGCCCCUGCAGGAGUACGUGCACGGAAACUGUGGGGGU
rnacentral:ncRNA from 1 species